CCAACUGGUGCUCAAUCUGGGA
rnacentral:siRNA from 1 species